GGCUCGGCCCUGUGCGACUGACAUUUGCAAAUCCCGUCAGGUCCGGAAGGAAGCAGCGGUAGCACGAUGAUUUGUGCGUCACAGGUCACCCGAGCCUUC
rnacentral:SRP_RNA from 1 species